UACGGAGGGAGCUAGCGUUGUUCGGAUAUACCGGGCGUAAAGCGCACGUAGGCGGAUACUUAAGUCAGGGGUGAAAUCCCGGGGCUCAACCCCGGAACUGCCUUUGAUACUGGGUAUCUCGAGUCCGGAAGAGGUGAGUGGAAUUCCGAGUGUAGAGGUGAAAUUCGUAGAUAUUCGGAGGAACACCAGUGGCGAAGGCGGCUCACUGGUCCGGUACUGACGCUGAGGUGCGAAAGCGUGGGGAGCAAACAGG
rnacentral:rRNA from 1 species